UGGGGUGUAGCUCAGUUGGUAGAGCGCUUGCCUUGCAUGCAGAAGACCCCGGGUUCAAUUCCCAGCACCACAA